AGACCCGAAACCCGGUGAUCUAGCCAUGGGCAGGUUGAAGGUUGGGUAACACUAACUGGAGGACCGAACCGACUAAUGUUGAAAAAUUAGCGGAUGACUUGUGGCUGGGGGUGAAAGGCCAAUCAAACCGGGAGAUAGCUGGUUCUCCCCGAAAGCUAUUUAGGUAGCGCCUCGUGAAUUCAUCUCCGGGGGUAGAGCACUGUUUCGGCAAGGGGGUCAUCCCGACUUACCAACCCGAUGCAAACUGCGAAUACCGGAGAAUGUUAUCACGGGAGACACACGGCGGGUGCUAACGUCCGUCGUGAAGAGGGAAACAACCCAGACCGCCAGCUAAGGUCCCAAAGUCAUGGUUAAGUGGGAAACGAUGUGGGAAGGCCCAGACAGCCAGGAUGUUGGCUUAGAAGCAGCCAUCAUUUAAAGAAAGCGUAAUAGCUCACUGGUCGAGUCGGCCUGCGCGGAAGAUGUAACGGGGCUAAACAAUGCACCGAAGCUGCGGCAGCGACACUGUGUGUUGUUGGGUAGGGGAGCGUUCUGUAAGCCUGUGAAGGUGUACUGUAAGGUAUGCUGGAG
rnacentral:rRNA from 1 species